rnacentral:lncRNA from 1 species
AAAAAUCACGUUUAAUUUCAUGUCAUCUUAGGUUCAAUUUGCAUGUAGGAAUUAAUUACAUUGAGUUAAUUGCAUUAUUAAGGAAAAAAUCACAAAAUAGUCAUUUUUACAUAUUUAGCUUUUAGUCUUUAGAAAUUAGUGUUUUUACUUAGUUUUAAGUUAAUUAGUUAUUUUAAUAAAUAAAGAAUUUUAAUUUCUACAAAAAAUAGCUUAAUUUAGGAUUUUAAUUAAUUAAAUAAAAGAAAAAAGGAAAAAUAAAUAGAAGAAAAUAGGAAAAACAAAAUUUGGUCUUGUUUAUUCAAAAUUGGGUCAAUCCUUAAAUUGACCCCAAUUAAUUAACCCAAGUCCAAUCUUUUAGCCCAAGCCCAAAUCCCACCUACCCAAUCGGACCCCCUCACAUUAAAAGACCUAGAGCUAGAAAUAUAACAUUAGAUUAGAGAGACCCUCCCCAUGUUCUAGACCUAACAAAAAUCAGAGAAAGACCGAAAACAAUCAGAAGCUCCCUUUUCUAAAAAAAACAGAGUAACAUCAACCCAGCUCCCUCUUCAACAAAGAGCCAGAAACGGACCCUCCCUCUUUAGCAAGAAAAAGCCAACGCCUUCCCCUCCCCAUUCUUAUCAUUCUCUUUCCAUCAAAUUAAAAAGAAACACACACAAGAGAAAUGGUCAAAUUCAAAAUAAAAAUGAAAGAAAAAACAAAAAAAUAAAGGGUUUGAACGUUGUUUGAAUUUCUGCUCUUUGGCUUCAAGUUUUCUGAAAUUUCGAGUGCCAUUUAGGUUGAAGAAGCUUUGUUUGGUCGACGGAUCUGUUGCUGAUGUUUUGCUGAGUCCGUAUGCUGUUUGUUUCAACUGAGCUCCAUCUUUCAUGGAUUUGCCUUUAGUUGGUCAUUUGGAUUCCAUUUGCGAAUAUUAGGUACACAUGCCUUCCUCAGUUUUUGUACUUCUGCUCGUAUGAACAAAAAAUUUAAGUUAAUAUGAAUUCCUUUUGUUUUUCUCUGAGAAUUUGACCAAUUUUGAUGUCUUCACUUUUCCUAAUUGUGCCAGUUUGAAUCUGGUAGUUUACCAGGAAGAAUAUAGUCUCCAGUGGUGUAAGACUCCUGCAAGUGAUGAAAUGGAUACCAUGUAAAAGAUAAGAGAUGACGAGAUAGGAUUCUGUUUUUUUUUUGCUAAACGUGUGACAAAAUCAUACAGUAGACAUAUAAUUGAUACCUUAGUAAUGGCUUAUGGGAAUAGUAGGUUAACUUCUAGGAUGACUUUCACAUAUAAUAAGACAGUGUUGCAUUUAUGAAUAAGAUGAUCUUAUUCAUUUCCUUGCGUAUUUGGUUCUCUAUAUCCUUGAUUAGUUUCAAGCAUUCAAUCAGGGACUUUGCCUUAAAUGUUGAAAUCUCAUGUGAAUAAUUGUAAAUUUGGAUUACUCUUAUAAACCAUUUGAUUCUGGGGCUGAUUUGAUCCAACCCAUUUUAAGAAUUCUAUCUUUAAAUGAUGGUUUGUGGUUUGGAAGGAUGAGAUAUUUUUGUUUGGAUCUUUUGCAAGUUGGAAAUUGAAAAUUUUACCAUUUUGUCUUUCAUGAGUUAAGCGAUGAAUGCACUGUCGUCAAUUCAUGUCAAUGAAAAGUUUUAUUUAGUGGGCUUCCUUUCUUUAUCUUGUACCAUUACAUUUUAUUUAUAAAUUCGUGACAUAUACAAUUAAUCUCAAACUUAAGAGUGGAACAAAUUACGAACAUCAUAGUUUGCUUUAGGCACGAUUAAUAAUAAUUAUCGUGGCCAUGGGUACGGUUACCGUGGCAUGAUCACGAUACAUAAUCCUCAAUUCGGGUGUGUAUUUCAUGUAACCCGAUCAUAACAACUUCGAAUAUUAAUAAAAUACACAUGUCAUGAAUCACAAGUGCAUUUCAUGUAGCGUGGUUCGUGGCGUGUUCCAAAACAAACAAGUGUACAACAAUCGUAACUUGUUCAAGAAAUAAUUCCAUAAAUCUUAAAAGCGUUAAAAUAAUUAAAAGCGGUUAUAAAGUUAAAAAUGCACAAUGAGUUUAAAACGUGUAAUAAAUCAAAUAAUAGGCCAAUUAUUAAUAGUUUAAGCGAUCGUGCUAGAACCAUGGAACCCGGGAAUGCCUAACACCUUCUCCCGGGUUAACAUAAUUCCUUAUCUAGAAUUUCUAGUUCGCAG